rnacentral:rRNA from 1 species
GAUGAACGCUAGCGAUAGGCCUAACACAUGCAAGUCGAGGGGCAGCACAUGAAGUAGCAAUACGGAUGGUGGCGACCGGCGCACGGGUGAGUAACGCGUAUGCAAUCUACCUACAACAAGGGAAUAACCCGUUGAAAAACGGACUAAUACCCUAUAAUACAGGGGUCCCGCAUGGGAAUAUUUGUUAAAGAUUUAUCGGUUGUAGAUGAGCAUGCGUUCCAUUAGCUAGUUGGUGAGGUAACGGCCCACCAAGGCAACGAUGGAUAGGGGAACUGAGAGGUUUAUCCCCCACACUGGUACUGAGACACGGACCAGACUCCUACGGGAGGCAGCAGUGAGGAAUAUUGGUCAAUGGACGCAAGUCUGAACCAGCCACGUCGCGUGAAGGAUGAAGGUCUUAUGGAUUGUAAACUUCUUUUGCAAGGGAAUAAAGUGGGGGACGUGUCCUCCUUUGCAUGUACCUUGCGAAUAAGGAUCGGCUAACUCCGUGCCAGCAGCCGCGGU